CCCCGGCGAGGGGAGUGAAAAAGAACCUGAAACCGUGUACGUACAAGCAGUGGGAGCCUCUUUUAUGGGGUGACUGCGUACCUUUUGUAUAAUGGGUCAGCGACUUAUAUUCUGUAGCAAGGUUAACCGAAUAGGGGAGCCGAAGGGAAACCGAGUCUUAACUGGGCGUUAAGUUGCAGGGUAUAGACCCGAAACCCGGUGAUCUAGCCAUGGGCAGGUUGAAGGUUGGGUAACACUAACUGGAGGACCGAACCGACUAAUGUUGAAAAAUUAGCGGAUGACUUGUGGCUGGGGGUGAAAGGCCAAUCAAACCGGGAGAUAGCUGGUUCUCCCCGAAAGCUAUUUAGGUAGCGCCUCGUGAACUCAUCUCCGGGGGUAGAGCACUGUUUCGGCAAGGGGGUCAUCCCGACUUACCAACCCGAUGCAAACUGCGAAUACCGGAGAAUGUUAUCACGGGAGACACACGGCGGGUGCUAACGUCCGUCGUGAAGAGGGAAACAACCCAGACCGCCAGCUAAGGUCCCAAAGUCAUGGUUAAGUGGGAAACGAUGUGGGAAGGCCCAGACAGCCAGGAUGUUGGCUUAGAAGCAGCCAUCAUUUAAAGAAAGCGUAAUAGCUCACUGGUCGAGUCGGCCUGCGCGGAAGAUGUAACGGGGCUAAACCAUGCACCGAAGCUGCGGCAGCGACGCUGAUGCGUUGUUGGGUAGGGGAGCGUUCUGUAAGCCUGUGAAGGUGUGCUGUGAGGCAUGCUGGAGGUAUCAGAAGUGCGAAUGCUGACAUAAGUAACGAUAAAGCGGGUGAAAAGCCCGCUCGCCGGAAGACCAAGGGUUCCUGUCCAACGUUAAUCGGGGCAGGGUGAGUCGACCCCUAAGGCGAGGCCGAAAGGCGUAGUCGAUGGGAAACAGGUUAAUAUUCCUGUACUUGGUGUUACUGCGAAGGGGGGACGGAGAAGGCUAUGUUGGCCGGGCGACGGUUGUCCCGGUUUAAGCGUGUAGGCUGGUUUUCCAGGCAAAUCCGGAAAAUCAAGGCUGAGGCGUGAUGACGAGGCACUACGGUGCUGAAGCAACAAAUGCCCUGCUUCCAGGAAAAGCCUCUAAGCAUCAGGUAACAUCAAAUCGUACCCCAAACCGACACAGGUGGUCAGGUAGAGAAUACCAAGGCGCUUGAGAGAACUCGGGUGAAGGAACUAGGCAAAAUGGUGCCGUAACUUCGGGAGAAGGCACGCUGAUAUGUAGGUGAAGUCCCUCGCGGAUGGAGCUGAAAUCAGUCGAAGAUACCAGCUGGCUGCAACUGUUUAUUAAAAACACAGCACUGUGCAAACACGAAAGUGGACGUAUACGGUGUGACGCCUGCCCGGUGC
rnacentral:rRNA from 1 species